CCUACGGGCUGCUGCAGUGGGGAAUAUUGGACAAUGGGCGAAAGCCUGAUCCAGCAAUGCCGCGUGUGUGAAGAAGGCCUUCGGGUUGUAAAGCACUUUCAGUGGGGAAGAAAGCCUUGGGGCUAAUACCCUCGAGGAAGGACAUCACCCACAGAAGAAGCACCGGCUAACUCCGUGCCAGCAGCCGCGGUAAUACGGAGGGUGCGAGCGUUAAUCGGAAUUACUGGGCGUAAAGCGCGCGUAGGCGGUCUGAUAAGCCGGUUGUGAAAGCCCCGGGCUCAACCUGGGAACGGCAUCCGGAACUGUCAGGCUAGAGUGCAGGAGAGGAAGGUAGAAUUCCCGGUGUAGCGGUGAAAUGCGUAGAGAUCGGGAGGAAUACCAGUGGCGAAGGCGGCCUUCUGGACUGACACUGACGCUGAGGUGCGAAAGCGUGGGUAGCAAACAGGAUUAGAUACCCUAGUAGUC
rnacentral:rRNA from 1 species